rnacentral:misc_RNA from 1 species
AUAUGAUAUGGUCUCCCUCAUGUAUGAGGUUGAGAUGUAUUAACAAAAUGACUCUUGCGGAUAGUCUUGCAUUAGGCUGGUGGGAUUAAAAAUGGGUUGCAAAUGUGCAAAUGUGAUUUAAAGAUGAUACUUGUGAUUAAAUGUUUUACAAGAAUUGUUUUUUAUUUACCACCUAAUCUUUUAUGUUCAUAUGGUAAGCAUAAUUGAAUUCCCAUUUCCAUAACAUGUUAAAUAUUGUUUACAUGAUUUGUUCCAUGAUGAUUUAAUCUGGUUUGUGGUUUAAUAUUAUUGUGUACCACUACAUACUAUUGUGCUUAGCGUUAGUUGUUUUUUGACUAACGCAGAUAAGGGAAAAGAGAAGGCUUCAAAGGAGUAAAGCCACACCCGUUACCAUAGGAACAAGGAGUCAUCUUGAAGUAUACAACAUGGAUUCCUUGGUUUUGUUUUAAUAUGAUGUUAACCACGUGCAACAGGACAGUAAAUUGAUAUCUGAGCAGAAUCACUUGUAUUUUUUUGUUACUUAUGUAUAAUUAUACUCUUUAUGAUAUGAUUUACCUGUGAACUGAUUAAAAACAUUAGUAUGAAAUUAUGACACCAUGGGAAUGUGAUUAUGGGUUUGCUACAAAAUUUCAACAGGUGUUGAUUUUGAAACUUAUUUGUCAAUUUGAACUGUUUAGCCGAAAUAUAGUAGUUUUAUAAUUAAAUCUGGUGGUUUUCUACAGGGUAUUUUACAGUUCUAGAAUUACCCUUUUAUUUUUCCAAUAAAUAUGUUUUGCUUCUGAUUUAAACCAAACCCUAUAAUACAAGUACUCUAGAAAUAGGUUAAAAUGAAUGACAGCAAAUUUCAAAGUUAUAGCCGUUUUGAGUAAUUUUUUUUAACUGGAAGUUUUUGGAUCAAACUGUUUUAUGCUGUGUUGUAUUUUCAACAAAAUAAUUUUGGAAUGAUAUUAAUUUGUUCUUAAUCCCUUGUUAUUUGUUCACCGGAUUCCGAUAAACUGUUCAUAUAAUGCCUCUGCUCCCCACCUGAUCCUGAUCCUGAUCCUCACGGUUUUGUCCCGUAGGUGGAAUGGAUAACUUCCCAGGAGGUCACCUAUCUUAAGAUUUCUUUCAAGCGAGCACGCUUAAUCUCGGAGUUCUUUCAACUCUCCAGGCCAUUUCACCAAA